GAUGAACGCUGGCGGCGUGCCUAAUACAUGCAAGUCGAGCGAACAGACGAGGAGCUUGCUCCUCUGACGUUAGCGGCGGACGGGUGAGUAACACGUGGAUAACCUACCUAUAAGACUGGGAUAACUUCGGGAAACCGGAGCUAAUACCGGAUAAUAUAUUGAACCGCAUGGUUCAAUAGUGAAAGACGGUUUUGCUGUCACUUAUAGAUGGAUCCGCGCCGCAUUAGCUAGUUGGUAAGGUAACGGCUUACCAAGGCAACGAUGCGUAGCCGACCUGAGAGGGGGGUAGGCCGCACGGGAAGUGGAACGCGGUCCAGAGGACUGCGGGAGGCAGCAGUAGGGUAUCUUCGGCAAUGGGGGAAAGCUUGACGGAGCAAGGGGGAGUGUGUGACGACGGUCUUCGGUUCGUAAAGAUCGGUUAUGAGGGAAGAACAAAUGUGUAAGUAACUAAGGCCGUAUUGACGGUAACGAGUCAGAAAGCACCGGCUAACUACGUG
rnacentral:rRNA from 1 species